CGCAGCCGCGGUAAUUCCAGCUCCAAUAGCGUAUAUUAAAGUUGUUGCAGUUAAAAGCUCGUAGUUGAAUUUCGGGGUCUGUCCGUCGGUCGGGCUUCACGGUCCGUACUGGUGUGAUGGGUUCCUACCUUCUGAAUAACCGGCAUGCCAUUUAUUUGGUGCGCCGGGGAAGCAGAGCUAUUACCUUGAAAAAUUAGAGUGCUUAAAGCAGGCUAGUGCUUGAAUAGAUUAGCAUGGAAUAAUAAAAUAGGACGGCAUGGUUCUAUUUUGUUGGUUUCUAGGAUCACCGUAAUGAUUAAUAGGGAUAGUUGGGGGCAUUAGUAUUCAAUUGUCAGAGGUGAAAUUCUUGGAUUUAUUGAAGACUAACUUCUGCGAAAGCAUUUGCCAAGGAUGUUUUCAUUAA
rnacentral:misc_RNA from 1 species